rfam:Aequorivita sublithincola DSM 14238, complete genome.
UGUCGCGUGGCGCAACUGAAUAGCGCAUCAGACCUGCCUGCCGGCAGGCAGGUUUCGGCUCUGAGGGUUGGGGGUUUGAAUCCCUUCGCGGUCA